rnacentral:lncRNA from 1 species
AGAAGAACAUGAACCCAGUGGAGAGCGCAGCCUUCAUCAGGCUGGGGGACAGGCCCUUGAAGAAGCCCCGGGUGCCUUCUUCCUGUAGCACCUGCCGGGUGAGGUCCAGGAGGCCCCCGUAGCUCCGCACCUGGGGAGAGGAAGGUAGAGGCUGAGGAGGAAGCAGUGACUGAAACCAUGACUGCCCAGCCAGGACAAGGCAGCUCCCAGUAACUGCUUACGGGAUGGAGGAGGCCCUGGAGGAGGGAGUUCCUCACUCCUUCUAGUGCAUGCUGUAACUGAGGAAGGGCCUGGGGGUCAGCAGCUGGAGAGCGCGCCUUCCUGCCUCCAGCAUCAUGUCUGCCUACAUGCCACCAUGCUUCCCAUUACCGUGACAGUGGACGAAACCUCUCAACUGUAAGCCAUUCCCAGUUAAAAGUUUUCCUUUAUAAUGUUGCUGUGAGGCCCAGCACUUGCCUUUUUAAUCAUCACUCCCCCUCCUCCCCCCCACACACACCCGGGAGGCAGAGGCAGGUGGAUCUGAGUUCCAGGACAACCAGGGCUACAUGGAGAAAUCAUGACUCAAAAACAAAGCAAAAAGUUGUUGUGCUCAUGGCAUCGCUUCACAGCGAAAGAACUUUAAGACACCCUCCGAAACAAAACAAACAAACACCUAAAAAGAGAAGUCUUUGAAAAGACCAUCAAAUUAGCCCGCAGCUGGAACAAGCAGUGACCAGGAGGCCAGGUCACUCUGUUCCCCUCCUUCUCUCAUUCACCCUGGAACUCUUCCAGAAGGUUCCCCUGGGAGAGUCAGUCGGGCUAAACCAGGACAGAGGACUAAGUCACUGAACCGUCUUAGGGGUGACUGGGCUGCCCAGUCCUUCAUGGUCUCAAGUUUCCCGCAGUCUAGGAGGAGAGACAGCAGAGAUGCAGGCGUCCUGGCUCGCUGUCCACAGACGCUGGGAAGCUAUCGAGUCUGCCGGCAAACCCAGCCGGGAACUGCACCGUUCAAACCAAACACAAAGUGGGAGAGGCUGUUGUGUCCGGAUUUCUAGAAAUGAGCACUUCUGCAUUGCUGGAGACAGGUCCAGAAAACUGGGUUUUGACUCCUAGGGAGACUGAGGCAGAAGGACCACAGUGUGAGGGCCAGCCUGGACUACACAGCUCCACUCUGUCUUAACAUAAAGGCUAAAAGGAAAGCCGUGACUCACACCUGUAACCUAGCACCCAGGAGGCGAAGGCAAGAGGACUGGGAGCCAGCCUGGGCUAUCUAUAUAAGACCUCAUCCCAAGAAAUUCAGAAAUUCAGACAAAAGGCAAAAUGCUAGCCAAACAUAUACAAGUCCCUGGGUCCCGCUCCCCAGCACCAAAAGGGGUCACAGUAGAGCUCAGGGUAGAGUCCCUGCCUUUUAUGCACAAAGCCCCGAGUUUAUAAACCCAUUGUUACAAAA